rnacentral:siRNA from 1 species
UCGAAUCUUAGCGACAAAGGG